rnacentral:lncRNA from 1 species
AUCAGGGAAAGGCAAUAACCAUGGUGCUCAGUCUGGUCCAUUACUUCUGAAACAAAAGCAAGACCUACAGUUGCCCUGUUGCCAUGGCAGUCACUAAAGGGAUAAGAAGGUAACUCGCACAGGGAGGAUGAUACCCCUGCCAGCUCCAGUGCCUGGAGAGGAUGAAGAGGAGGCUGUCUAAAGAUAAUCUCUUUCAUCCGUUCUCAAUUUAAAAGGCAGUCGACUGCUUCUGCCUAACUUCUCUUCAGGGAGGUUUCCACAGAUUACAGAAGUACCUUUUUAGUACCCAGGGCACAUUCCAUCCUGUCUCGAAGUCCCUUUCUUCAGCUUCUUCUAGAACUUCUGGUGAACAAGGGUGCUAAGAGCAAAGCACUUCUAAGAUUCAACCACUCAAACUCUGAAACAAAUGUUGGAGGGCUACUCCAUCCGCAUGGCCGCAACCCAACAUGGCAUUUACCUCAAAAGACCCAGUGACUGCUCCCAAAAGCAGUGUGGACGGAUUGUGGGAAGACACAGCAUGAUGGAGCUCCUGAAGUAAGAAGAUACAAGUUACGAUCUAAGCUGAAAGGCUGGUCAGGAAGGAAAGGGAAGACUGUGGCCAGGAAUCAAAAAACCUAGACAAAGAGUUGCAUGGUGGCAAACAGACUUAUAUGGGCCUGGGCUAUAGACCAGAGAGCUCACAAAAGGUGGUAAAGGACAGACCUUCCCAGUGCCCAGCCUUUUCCUGUGCUUCCCAUUGGCUGAAAUCGAAGGAAAGCCAGAAACUUGGCAUCAUGGGAUGUCAUCUGACAAAGGGAAGAAUGGCUCUGGCAUGAGGAUGGGGAAAAGGAAACUUCUGUCUUCUUGGAACACCUGAGACAAGAGAAUGAUGAAUGGCAGCCUGGAGAUCAGCCUGGAGCCACACCUUGCCCUUUGAGUAGCCUCUCCCAUGACAAUCAACACUUUUCUAGAGCCUGGUAAGGUGUGAGAGUUUAGAAUGUCCAUAGGUUAGCUAUGGUAGAGACCUGGAAGACAGGCG